rnacentral:rRNA from 1 species
AGCGGCGGACGGGUGAGUAACACGUGGGCAACUUGCCUCAUAGAGGGGAAUAGCCUUCCGAAAGGAAGAUUAAUACCGCAUAACAUUGUUGAAAGGCAUCUUUUAACAAUCAAAGGAGCAAUCCGCUAUGAGAUGGGCCCGCGGCGCAUUAGCUAGUUGGUGAGGUAACGGCCCACCAAGCCGACGAUCGGUAGCCGACCUGAGAGGGUGAUCGGCCACAUUGGGACUGAGACACGGCCCAAACUCCUACGGGAGGCAGCAGUGGGGAAUAUUGGGCAAUGGGGGAAACCCUGACCCAGCAACGCCGCGUGGAGGAAGAAGGUUUUCGGAUCGUAAACUCCUGUCCUUGGAGACGAGUAGAAGACGGUAUCCAAGGAGGAAGCCCCGGCUAACUACGUGCCAGCAGCCGCGGUAAUACGUAGGGGGCAAGCGUUGUCCGGAAUAAUUGGGCGUAAAGGGCGCGUAGGCGGCUCGGUAAGUCUGGAGUGAAAGUCCUGCUUUUAAGGUGGGAAUUGCUUUGGAUACUGUCGGGCUUGAGUGCAGGAGAGGUUAGUGGAAUUCCCAGUGUAGCAGUGAAAUGCGUAGAGAUUGGGAGGAACACCAGUGGCGAAGGCGACUAACUGGACUGUAACUGACGCUGAGGCGCGGAAGUGUGGGGAGCAAACAGGAUUAGAUACCCUGGUAGUCCACGCCGUAAACGAUGAUUACUAGGUGUUGGGGAUUUAUAAAUCCUCGGUGCCGUCGCAAACGCAAUAAGUAAUCCACCUGGGGAGUACGUUCGCAAGAAUGAAACUCAAAGGAAUUGACGGGGACCCGCACAAGCGGUGGAGCAUGUGGUUUAAUUCGAAGCAACGCGAAAAACCUUACCAAAUCUUGACAUCCCGAUGACAAAGUAUGUAAUGUACUCUCUCUUCGGAGCAUCGGAGACAGGUGGUGCAUGGUUGUCGUCAGCUCGUGUCGUGAGAUGUUGGGUUAAGUCCCGCAACGAGCGCAACCCUUAUAUUUAGUAGCCAGCAGGUCAAGCUGGGCACUCUAGAUAGACUGCCAGGGAUAACCUGGAGGAAGGUGGGGAUGACGUCAAAUCAUCAUGCCCCUUAUGAUUUGGGCUACACACGUGCUACAAUGGCGUAAACAAAGGGAAGCGAUCACGUGAGUGUAAGCAAAUCUCAAAAAUAACGUCUCAGUUCGGAUUGUAGUCUGCAACUCGACUACAUGAAGCUGGAAUCGCUAGUAAUCGCGAAUCAGCAUGUCGCGGUGAAUACGUUCCCGGGUCUUGCACUCACCGCCGGUCA